rnacentral:rRNA from 1 species
GAGGGGGAUCCCCCACACUGGUACUGAGACACGGACCAGACUCCUACGGGAGGCAGCAGUAAGGAAUAUUGGACAAUGGACGAAAGUCUGAUCCAGCCAUGCCGCGUGCAGGAUGAAAGCCCUACGGGUUGUACACUGCUUUUAUACAGGAAGAAACACUCCGACGUGUCGGAGCUUGACGGUACUGUAAGAAUAAGGAUCGGCUAACUCCGUGCCAGCAGCCGCGGUAAUACGGAGGAUCCAAGCGUUAUCCGGAAUCAUUGGGUUUAAAGGGUCCGCAGGCUGUUUUUUAAGUCAGAGGUGAAAUCCUACAGCUCAACUGUAGAACUGCCUUUGAUACUGAAAAACUUGAGUUAUUGUGAAGUGGUUAGAAUGUGUGGUGUAGCGGUGAAAUGCAUAGAUAUCACACAGAAUACCGAUU